UUAGCUUGCAUUUCAGUACCAUACUUAGUAAAUUUGUUUGUUUCUCCUCUGAUCAUUGCCACUGUUUUUAAUUAUUCAGGGUCCCUUGUUUCCCCUUUCCAGAGGCCCAGAUCUGCUGGUCCCUCCACCCUGCUAGUCACAGAACCGAGCUGAACCAGUCUGUAAACUACUGACACUGUGCACUGUGCAUGUGACACUUCAUCAAGAUACUAAUAUCUUCAUUAGUAGACUCCUUCAACCAAAUCCAAACCACCACAGGAACAUGAUGAAUAACCUCGAAUCCAGAGUCUGGACUAAAUACUCUGUCCUGAUUUCUCAUUCCCUUCAAGGUAGAUGGACCAGAUGUAGUUGUAUCACUCUACGCUCUGAAGCUAAUGAACUGCACUGAGCUGAGAAUUUGGCCAAGUGACAGGACAAGGAUUCACUUUCCCUCCACCCUGCAAUACACCUUUUCCUUUACUUCUUAAUUAAACAAAUAUUGCAACCUGUAAAUGCAUCACACCCAGUGCCUCAAAAUACUGCUAAAAAAGCUCUGGUU
rnacentral:lncRNA from 1 species